UGUAGCUAUGUUCCUCUGGUCAUGCCUGAUCUCAGAAGCUAGGCAGGGUUGGGCUUGGUUAGUACAUCGAUGGGGGACUACCAGGGAACACCAGGUGCAGUGGCUACAC
rnacentral:rRNA from 1 species